rnacentral:misc_RNA from 1 species
AAACUGCGAUACGUAGUGUGAAUUGCAGAAUUCAGUGAAUCAUCGAAUCUUUGAACGCAAAUUGCGCUGUCGGGCAUUCCUGACAGCAUACUUGGCUGAGUAUCAUCUGGAUAAAUCACAAAUUUAGUUUUGUGGAUAUGAGGCGUCACAUUGGAAAACAAUGCGUCCCUUUAAAUACAGGAAAGGUGAAAGGAAUACCAGCGUCCUUGAUACCACUAGUGUGGCAAUUGUCCUUUGGACAUCCAAAGCACUAUGUCGGGACUUGGCCAUUAAGCUGGUACGAUUUUCAACACAUACCUUUAACGUAAACAACUCUUUUUGAAAUUUUGAUCUCAGCUCAAGUAAGACUACCCGCUGAAUUUAA